CAACAGCUAACAGAAGCUCAGCCUAGAGAAAGAGGAAGUCCCAUAUUCCAAUCUGGAGAUUUAGUACGGGUACCUCUGGUACUGAUUACAGAAACAGAAGGCCGACUGGAAGAAGCAGGCCUGUGGGUCCUGAGGGUGCGUGCGUGGACGAGAUUCGUGUGGCUCCCCUGGACCCCCGGACAGUCACUGCUCUAGGAACGCUGAGCCCUCUCCUUGCCUUCAUACUGCAAACCCCAUCGAGAAUAUCAGGCAGUGCCGUGCAGAGCAAGCUGGCCACAAGGAGUCUUCCCCUCCAUGUGACAGUGCUUUUGCUUCGAAUGGUCCCCCGGCGCCCGUGGUGUCCAGCAGGAGAGAAG